rnacentral:misc_RNA from 1 species
GAAAUGCGAUAAGUAAUGUGAAUUGCAGAAUUCAGUGAAUCAUCGAAUCUUUGAACGCACAUUGCGCCCCCUGGUAUUCCGGGGGGCAUGCCUGUUCGAGCGUCAUUUCACCACUCAAGCCUCGCUUGGUAUUGGGCAACGCUGUCCGCCGCGUGCCUCAAAUCGACCGGCUGGGUCUUCUGUCCCCUAAGCGUUGUGGAAACUAUUCGCUAAAGGGUGUUCGGGAGGCUACGCCGUAAAACAACCCCAUUUCUAAGGUUGACCUCGGAUCAGGUAGGGAUACCCGCUGAACUUAAGC